ensembl:processed_transcript
GCAAAUUAACUCUACACGCUUUUCUUAUUUGCACUGCUUAUAAGGUAAAUUAAUGACGUUUUAGUCAUUUAUAAUGAUGUGUAAUUGCACAUGCAUGUACUGUUUAUAAGUAAACCGUCAUUUCAAUCUAAAUGGGCUUUGACAAGACACUUGGAACGUUUCCACCGCUUGUCGCCAAACUGCCUUAAGUGGCACUGACCCUUCUGUUUACAUCCAAAUGACAUCGAGAGAGAUGAUCCCCAUCACCUGCAGCCGUAUUCCCAACACACCUGCAGGUGAAUGACAUCAUGCCUGGCAUCUCCUCGCAGUAAGGAGCCCGUCCUGUGUCCACCCUUUAAACGUCUGUGCAAUAGUUCUCCCUUGUGGCCACUACACAGCACACACACUUUAUGGACAGGUCUGCGUUGUGCUGUAAGGAACCAUACUUUUUAAUUCUUUACAUUUUGAAUCCGGCCACUGUUACCGCUCUCUUGUCUUGGAAGAGAGUGGGACCCUCAGUAUGCACAAGCUGAGGGGAGGCCCUGGCCCUCCAGUCCAGG